AUUGAACGCUGGCGGCAUGCUUUACACAUGCAAGUCGAACGGUAACAGGCCGCAAGGUGCUGACGAGUGGCGAACGGGUGAGUAAUGCAUCGGAACGUGCCCAGUCGUGGGGGAUAACGCAGCGAAAGCUGCGCUAAUACCGCAUACGAUCUAUGGAUGAAAGAGGGGGACCGUAAGGCCCCGCGCGAUUGGAGCGGCCGAUGUCAGAUUAGAUAGUUGGUGGGGUAAAGGCUCACCAAGCCAACGAUCUGUAGCUGGUCUGAGAGGACGACCAGCCACACUGGGACUGAGACACGGCCCAGACUCCUACGGGAGGCAGCAGUGGGGAAUUUUGGACAAUGGGCGCAAGCCUGAUCCAGCAAUGCCGCGUGCAGGAAGAAGGCCUUCGGGUUGUAAACUGCUUUUGUACGGAACGAAACGGUCCUGGUUAAUACCUGGGGCUAAUGACGGUACCGUAAGAAUAAGCACCGGCUAACUACGUGCCAGCCGCCGCCGUAACAC
rnacentral:rRNA from 1 species